rnacentral:rRNA from 1 species
UGGGGAAUCUUGCGCAAUGGCCGCAAGGCUGACGCAGCGACGCCGCGUGGGGGAGGAAGGGCUUCGGCUCGUAAACCCCUGUUGCCCGGGGCGAACAGCAGGUUUCGACCUGCCUGACGGUACCGGGUGAGGAAGCACCGGCUAACUCCGUGCCAGCAGCCCCGGCAAUCCGGAGGGUGCGAGCGUUGUCCGGAAUCACUGGGCGUAAAGGGCGCGUAGGUGGCCGAGCAAGGUCGCGGUGAAAGCCCGGGGCUCAACCCCGGGUCGGCCGUGGCAACUACUCGGCUUGAGCACUGUAGGGGCGGGUGGAAUUCCGGGUGUAGCGGUGGAAUGCGUAGAGAUCCGGAAGAACACCGGUGGCGAAGGCGGCCCGCUGGGCAGGAAGGCUCGCAAGAGCCGGCUGACACUGAGGCGCGACAGCGUGGGGAGCAAA